rnacentral:lncRNA from 1 species
GAUGGUGGACUCUUCCUCGAGGUCAGUGGAAUGCAUCAUCAUUGAGAAAGUUCACUAACUACACCCUCCUAAAUGUCCCUAGGGCAUAGAUAUUGAUAGAGAUAAAGGAGCAGCUGCCAAGAGCGAGGAGGAUGGGAGCCCCGUCGAUCCAAUGUGAUCCGAGCAAAUACUGUCUAUAUCAUUGAGAUCAUGAUCACAACACCAAGAAAUGUAACUAGCUGCAAGACAAAAUUGAAGAGUUCAUUAAGCGUGGGAGAUUGGAUAGAUUUUUGAAGCAUUGGAGGGAGCAGUGUGAAGCUCCAUCAGAAUUAUCUAGUCUACCUAAACCACCUCAAAAAGAAGAAUCCAUAAAAAUUUGACCUGUCGUCGAGGUGAUAAAUACUGUCAUUGGGGGUAAGAUCGGUGGCAUAGUGGGAAGUUCAGCAGUUCCAACCAAGAGAU